rnacentral:rRNA from 1 species
GACGAACCACACAAACGUUAUUCGGAAUUACUGGGCGUAAAGGGUGCGUAGGCGGGUCUUUAAGUCAGGGGUGAAAUCCUGGAGCUCAACUCCAGAACUGCCUUUGAUACUGAAGAUCUUGAGUUCGGGAGAGGUGAGUGGAACUGCGAGUGUAGAGGUGAAAUUCGUAGAUAUUCGCAAGAACACCAGUGGCGAAGGCGGCUCACUGGCCCGAUACUGACGCUGAGGCACGAAAGCGUGGGGAGCAACCAGG